CCCUUAGACGUUCUGGGCCGCACGCGCGCUACACUGACCGGUGCAACAAGCAUCCGUCCUUGGCCGACAGGCCCAGGCAAUCUUUGAACGCCGGUCGUGAUGGGGAUAGACUUUUGCAAUUUUUGGUCUUCAACGAGGAAUUCCUAGUAAACGCAAGUCAUCAACUUGCAUUGAUUACGUCCCUGCCCUUUGUACACACCGCCCGUCGCACCUACCGAUUGAAUGGUCCGGUGAAGCCUCCGGAUUGGCGUGCACCUCAGUGCCGCCGAGAAGUUGGCUAAACCUUACCAUUUAGAGGAAGGUGAAGUCGUAACA
rnacentral:rRNA from 1 species